rnacentral:SRP_RNA from 1 species
UCGUGCUAGACGGGGAGGUAGCGGUGCCCUGUAACCCGCAAUCCGCUAUAGCGGGGUCAAUUACCUACUUGAGGAUGCAGCUUGUGAAGUCUGCCUGGUGUAAGGGGCGUUGAUGACCGGGUCUUGCGCGACGUGAGUUUUCGAACCGUGUCAGGUCCUGGCGGAAGCAGCACUAAGGAAUGCCUUACGGGUGCCGCGAGGGUGCCUAGUCUGAGCUACCUGCACCGGUUACGUUCGGAAGCUGCUAUCCAAAAGUAGGGUGCACGG